rnacentral:rRNA from 1 species
AUUGAACGCUGGCGGAAUGCUUUACACAUGCAAGUCGAACGGCAGCACGGACUUCGGUCUGGUGGCGAGUGGCGAACGGGUGAGUAAUGUAUCGGAACGUGCCCAGUCGUGGGGGAUAACGUAGUGAAAAUUACGCUAAUACCGCAUACGAUCGAUGGAUGAAAGCGGGGGAUCGCAAGACCUCGCGCGAUUGGAGAGGCCGAUAUCAGAGUAGGUAGUUGGUGGGGUAAAGGCCCACCAAGCCAACGAUCUGUAGCUGGUCUGAGAGGACGACCAGCCACACUGGAACUGAGACACGGUCCAGACUCCUACGGGAGGCAGCAGUGGGGAAUUUUGGACAAUGGGCGAAAGCCUGAUCCAGCCAUUCCGCGUGCAGGAUGAAGGCCCUCGGGUUGUAAACUGCUUUUGUACAGAACGAAAAGGUUUCUACUAAUACUAGGAGCUCAUGACUGUACCACCAGAAGAAGCCCCGGCUAACUCCGUGCCAGCCGCCGCCGUAA